UCUGAGAGGUUUUGAUCAAUAACCAGAAAACUAUUCAAUUUUUCCUCCCAAACUUGCGACACUUGUUUAAGCUUUAACCUCUCUUCCCAUUAAUUCUUUCAAAUUCUAAAUUCCUUUUCUUCUUUCCUUUCCAUUCAACUCUUCUUCUCAUUCUCAUUCUCAUUCUCAUUCGUUCAUGUUACACAUGGGGGCUACGAAGCAUGGGCCAGCUUGGACAUUCUUCACUCCAGUAUGGAGAUAAAGAGUUAUUGCCAAGAAGGGUGGUUUCCCUUGAUGGUAUUUUCAUAAAGGAUUUGGUGUGUGGCGGUGUACACACAUCUGCUCUGACUCAGGAAGGGGCACUUUACGCUCGGAGUGGCGGUCAAUCCGGGCAAUUAGGCCUUGGCCCCCAAACUGGGUUGUUCUCGUUCGUCACUAAUAACUCUCGUACAUUUUUCCGGAACAUCCCAGUUUUGGUUGUUCCAAAAGGUGUGAAGCUUGUCGCCUAUGGACAUUCCCACACGCUUAUUUCAAUGAGGGAUGGUAAAAUUCAUGGAUGGGGUUACAAUAGUUACGGUCAGGUAGCCAACGAGAAAUCUACAUAUGCUUGGUACCUGUCACCUGUUGACUGGUGUGUUGGGGAGGUCCGAAAACUAGCUGCUGGUGGGGUCAUUCAUCUGUAUUGACUAAUGCUUGUUCGUUAAAAGAGUUAUGCGAGCUUAUACUCGCAGAGACUCUGACUUUAUCUGAUGCGGCCAAGGUUGAGGAUAUUGCAUCCAGAACUAGAUCAGAUGCUUUGGCUCGCCUCUGCGUGAGACUCAGGAAACAUAUGACGUUUCCUCUAGCAACGGUCUUCUCUUGUGACGUCUCCUCCGGCGACGGUCUCCUCUUGUGACGUCUCCUCUGGCGACAAUUUUCUCCUCCGACGUUCUCCUACGCAGCAAUCUCGUCCAUCGAGCUACAGUGCUGCGAGUUUCUCCUCCGGCGGCAGACUCGCGAGAUAAUGGUUUGAUUGGUUAAUUUGAUGGUGGAUUCUACUCUGCUUAUCUUAUUGUCGAGAAGAUUGUUGUUUCUACCAUUGAUCUGAUAAGCAAUAUGUAUGGGAAGCAGUUGCUGACAGUAACUAUGUGAUUACACUCUACUUAAAACUUUUGCCCUUGUGCUCCAAGCUCAUCUCUCUCUGCAUCUCCUCACUCUCCUCCAACUCUGUGCUGUUCGCAACAAGUGAGAACAGGUGGUCAGCACAACAAGAGGAAUAUUGUUUCUUCAGACAACUUUCCAGGACAACGGCGGACGACUUAUAGUUCAAGAUCACUGAAGCCUACUUAUACACGGUUUCCAUUUAGUACGAGAGCAUGUUCUGCUCAGACUGCAACUUUUAUAUGUGCUACAGCUUUGUGGGGUUGCAUUCCAGAGGCUGGAAGAUGCCCUGAGAGGAGUGAGCAUUGUGUGGAGCAGCAUAUUGAUGCAUACUUUGAUUACCAGCUUCCCAUGAUUGCUGCCUAUAUUGAUUCUUUGAAUUGAUUUCAUCCAGCUAUUUAACAAACUGUAACCAUGAAUUUCAUCGUCAUCUUCUGUAAAAGAUAGAUUAUUAGUGUGGACAAUGGUAUGAAUUAAGUUACCUUCAUUUAUUUGAGUAAAUAAGUAAUUUACUUUAUUUAAAUAAAAAAGGGCCAAAAAUGUUUAUUUUCUUUUCCAUAAUUUUGUAAGCAAUUAGAUCAUUCCAUGAAACAAUUCUUUUCUAAUCAAGGCCAAUGGCCCGUAUCACAAACAUUAUUUUUUGGCAGGUAAAUAAUUACAGUGAGCUUAGGACAAAUACACUCUCGUUAGACCAAAUAAUUAAUCUUUCCAAUGACCUCAUAUUACACCACAUGUUAAUAAUGCUAUUGACCAAUCAAACCAUAUUCAUGCUUAGCUACUAACACCUAUGCUACCAGAGAAGUCACCUAUUUAUGAUCAACUAUUUGUAAUUAUAUGAAAGCUUUAAAACAUGAUCACAAAUUAUGCAACAUAAUCAAAACGUGCUGUCAUACUUUGUUACUUGUUUUCUAAGUAUAUUGAUAUUGUUAGUCAAGCAUACAUAUUAGGUAAUAUAAGAAGAGUAGUUAGCUAUAUAGCUCAGUUCCAGGAGUAGAAAAAGAAUUCACCAAAAUGGAACAGUCUGGGUAUGGAGGUAUGGCAAAGAUAAAAAAUGGAAUGGCUGUAACAGGUAUCUCUCUCUUUCGUUUAGAAGAAAAAAGAAAAGAAAAGAUAGGGUGGCUAAUACUAUUAUAAAUAACUGGUGAAGGAACAGUGACGGUAAGCAAUUAAGCACAAUCUCCUUUAAGAUUUUUACACUUACUAUGGAAAUUGUAAGUACACAAUUCUGCUCCUCACUGCUUCUUCGCCAGCGGCCUCCGAUGCACGCCUCGUUUCAGUAACAGAGUGUGGUUAAAAACCCAAACUCUGCUGCCCAAUUUUUCCCAAUAGAAUACAGAAGCGUGCUCGCUACCGUCAGUUUGAGGAGUAGGGACGUUGCAAGCUUAUGAUUCAGAGAGAAGUACUCCAUAUCUAACUCCGAUGACCCACCCGAGCACUCAAGCUUAUGAUUCGGAGAGAAGUACUCCACAUCUAACUCUGAUGACCUAUCUAACACCGAUGACCCACCUGAGCGCUCAAUCUUCUCAGUAUGGGUUCCGUUUAUCAAGAAUUAGCUUAUAUAUUUGGGAAUGUUGGUGAAUCAUCAAGAAAAUGGAUCCAAGGAUGCGAGGUUUCAUUCUACUGGUUUCUGCAGUAGUCGUGUUGGAACUACUGCAUUUUAUUAGCCUUCCUAAAUUUGACAAAAAUAAGGUUCUCAAUUUUCAGGAAGGUUUUGCUAUGUCUUUUACUUCGAUGGUACCGAUUUCUGUAGUGUCUUGGAGCUUUAUUAUAAAUUUAAUUUUAAUAAAACGAAUUUAUCCUAUGCUCCAAUGUUUGGAGCUAAUAUUUUGGGCAUUAGCCCCUUUGCAUGUAAUUUCUGAUUUGGUACAUAGAACUGAGAAAAGUUGGGUAACAGUGAAUUCGUAUACCAUACCAAUGUUAUGGUUUACGAUCUUAGGAGGCGUUUUGA